UGGUGAGCUAACAAGUCUUCCUACUCUAUUUCAGGGGAUAAGUCCUAUGUUGAUAGAAUAAAUAUUAAUGAAAUAAUGAAACCAUUAUAUACGUAUGUAUGUUUAAAUGUGGGGGUUGUGUGAAUAAAAAGCUCGAUAUCCGUUGCAAGUUGUUCCACAUUUUAAUCGUCAGGGCAUGCAUUCCUUGUAAUAAUUUUCUAUUCACCGUUGGAUUUUCUUUUUGCGCAUCUUAAGGCAAUCCAAACGGUCAUAAACCCAUGAACGAUCAUCGUGUGCGAUUUCUUCCUCUUGUUUGGCUUCCGGACGAAUGUCGAUCAGUUACUUCGAAAUCCCUAUGGAAACGUGGACAAAACCAUCGGCGGACCUAAUUAGUCUCUCCUCUGUUUCGCCUCGAUUGAGUUGGCGAUGGGGGACACGUCGGCGGAGAAUUCCCCCAGGCUUCCUUUGCAUUACUACCGGAACAUCCUCCUUACCACCGCCGCUCCCUUCCCAACGUCGACAACGUCGGGAGAUACCCUUUGAUGUGUUUUGAAAGGGGAUGUGCUUGCUUGAUAUUGGUGGACUCGAGGGUAUAAUGCAGUAUGUAUGUGUGGGAUGGAAGCGAACCGGAUCGCUGCCGAGACAGGCUAUGAAGGAGAAUUGCUCCUCCAGGGAGACUUGUGACAAGUGGAAUUGUAUGACCCACCUGCGUCAGCUGUAGUGAGAGUGAGUGGCGUUUCCUUGGUAUUCUGUUGAGCCUGACACCAUUUGGAGUGCCAAGAUCAGCCAGGUCUGUGAGAAGGUGCAGGUGACCUACAUACAGAUGCUGAGCUGGUAGCCUGCCACAAGGAUGUGGCAUUGGCUUCACUCGCUGGGGUUUGCAAGGUCUCAUCUCAUCUAGUGCAAAUGGAACAACAUUAAGGUAGAAUGCAUUAUCUUGGGCUGGCUAAUUUCACCUUAAAUUCAUGGGAAGAUUCUUGUACAUGAGAGGAGCAUAAGCAAAUUUGAUGAAAACUUCUAAAUCUAUUCAAUGGUCCUGUAGAAUCUUUCAAAUUUCUUCUUCUUCUUCUUCUACCAUGUUAUGUUUUCUUUGCCGCUGGGCAGGAAAAAAAAAACAAGAAAAAGGGCUUUGAGUUA